rnacentral:rRNA from 1 species
GAUGAACGCUGGCGGCGUGCUUAACACAUGCAAGUCGAACGAUGAAGCCCAGCUUGCUGGGUGGUUUAGUGGCGAACGGGUGAGUAACACGUGAGUAACCUGCCCUUAACUCUGGGUUAAGCCUGGGAAACUGUGUCUAAUACCCGUUAGUCGCGUCCACCGCAUGGUGGGUUUUUGAAAGAUUUGUCGGUUUUGUAUGUACUCUCGGCCUAUCAGCUUGUUUGUGUGGUAAUGGCUCACCAAGGCGACGACGGGUAGCCGGCCUGAGAGGGUGACCGGCCACACUGGGACUGAGACACGGCACAGAGUGCAACGGGAGGCAGCAGUGGGGAAUAUUGCACAAUGGGCGCAAGCCUGAUGCAGCGACGCCGCGUGAGGGAUGACGGCCUUCGGGUUGUAAACCUCUGUAAGUAGGGAAGAAGCGAAAGUGACGGUACCUGCAGAAGAAGCACCGGCUAACUACGUG